GCUAUGGCUGAAUGGCAGAGCCCUUUCUUUGCAUGCAAAAGGUCCCAGGUUCAAUCCCUGGCAUAUAUCCA